AUACGGAGGGUGCAAGCGUUGUUCGGAUUUACUGGGCGUAAAGCGCACGUAGGCGGACUGUCAAGUCGGGUGUGAAAACCGGUGGCUUAACCACUGGCCUGCGCUCGAAACUGGUAGUCUUGAGUACCGGAGAGGAUGGCGGAAUUCCUGGUGUAGCGGUGAAAUGCGUAGAUAUCAGGAAGAACACCGGCGGCGAAGGCGGCCAUCUGGACGGAUACUGACGCUCAGGUGCGAAGGCUAGGGGAGCAAACAGGAUUAGAAACCCCAGUAGUCC
rnacentral:rRNA from 1 species